AUGACCGGCGGCAGCGGAGGCACCACCCGGCGUCCAUCCGCCGCCUCCAGGAGCCGCGGUGACCCCUCCUCCUCUGCCCCGGAUCCGGACGCGCGCCGGGCCGCCGCCGCCGCCGCAGCGCGGCGCAGUGGCCGCGGCGACCAUGCCCCCCUGCGCCUCAUGGCCGUGAGCGCCCGAACCCUCCUUCUCCUAGUGAUUGCUUCCGUCGCCCUCCUGUCCCUCGCCUUCCUCGCGUAUACUGGCGGGUGGUGGCAGGCUGAGGCGGAGUCGGAGGGCGCCGCGGCGCGGCGCAGGAUGGCGCGCUCCGUCACGCCGCUUGAUGCGCCCCGGAUGAUGGAUCUGCCUCAGUUCCAAGGUGAUCACAAAGAAAGCUUGUAUUGGGGUACUUACAGGCCAAAUGUAUAUCUUGGAAUUCGUGCUAGAACUCCGUUGUCUCUAAUUGCUGGGUUAAUGUGGAUUGGCGUGAAAAAUGGACAAUAUUUUAUUCGCCAUGUCUGCCAAGAUUCUGAUGAGCUUAGCAAAUAUGGCUGGGCAGAUCACAAUGGUAGGGAUUAUGGACGUCAAGAGCUGACUGAUCAUGGCUUGCACUUGACCACUAGCUUUCUAAAAGAGAAAGGAGAUGGCAGUGGCUAUGGAGGAGACUGGGCAGUUCGAUUGGAUGCUAAGAACGAGGGGUCAAGUUUAAGUGAAGCCCAAGAAAGCACCACACAUCUGUUCUUCUAUAUUGCUGACGAAGCAGGGAAGUUGAUCACUAUGGGCUCACAUGAGCCUCCGUCGAGAGGUCCUGUUCUUUUGGCCUCUGGAUUGCAUGAAGAGAUUGGUGAUUGGGAACUUUACCUGAGAUCUGAGGACAAUUUGGAAAUUCACAGAGCUGGAUUCCAGACGACCAGUAUGCAUAAUCUAAGUGACCUAGUACAACAUGCCCUUGUGACUAAUGCAAGGCAAAGCGGGAACCUUAAUCUGCCAGACAUGGCCGAAGACUCUUCAAAUGCAAUGAUCUAUCAGGUUUCAAUAAAACUUCCUGCCAAAAUAGACAUAGUGUUCUUGUCAGGGGCUGGCUCAAAAAAUCCAAUGACUGCAGAACGCGUUAACAGGCUAACAGGUCCCAUGCUGAGCACCCGCCUUGAAUCAAAACAGAAAGAUUUUGAAGAGAGAUAUGAUCAAAUUUUCAACGUAAAUAAUAAGAUUGUUUCCAAAGAACUAUCUGUUGGUAGAGCUGCCUUGUCAAGUCUACUUGGCGGUAUUGGCUACUUCUACGGGCAGUCAAAAAUUGCACUUCCAAAAGGUUUUUCACAAAAAAAUGGAGAUAAAUAUAUUCCAUAUUGGCCUGCUGCACUAUAUACAGCUGUGCCCAGUCGCUCAUUUUUCCCUAGGGGAUUCCUGUGGGACGAGGGCUUCCAUCAGUUAGUCAUUUGGCGCUGGGAUGCCCAUAUAUCGAUGGACAUAAUUGGCCAUUGGUUGGAUCUAAUUAAUGCGGAUGGAUGGAUUCCUCGAGAGCAAAUAUUAGGGGCUGAAGCUUUAAGUUUUUUGGCUUCAUGCAGUAAAGUUCCUGAGGAAUUCGUUCUGCAGUAUCCUUCCAAUGGAAACCCUCCGACAUUAUUUCUUGCGCUGCGUGACUUGGCAAGUGGCAUACAUGCACACCAGUUUUCGGAUGAGGAAGCUGAAAAGAUAUCCACUUUCCUUAAAAGGGCUUAUGUACGGCUGAACUCUUGGUUCCAGUGGUUCAAUAGUACGCAAUCAGGGAAAUAUGAAGGGACGUUUUUUUGGCAUGGAAGAGACAGUAUGACAACAAGGGAGUUAAACCCAAAGACUUUGACAUCUGGGUUGGAUGACUAUCCUCGUGCAUCUCACCCUAACGAUGAGGAGCGCCAUGUUGACCUUCGGUGCUGGAUGCUUCUAGCUACAAAUUGUAUGCGCUCAAUCGCCGGGUUUCUUAAAAUGGACAGCUCUCUUGAGAAGGAUUACUAUAAAUUGUCAGAUCAACUUUCAGAUUUUGAGACACUUAACAAGAUGCACUUGGAUGACAAAACUGGUGCCUAUUUUGACUUUGGUAACCAUACAGAAAAGGUUCGUUUGAGAUGGUAUGAAGAUAGGGAGGCUAUGAAACGAGAACUCCUGCGGGAGACAUUAGAAGCCCCGCAGCUGCAAUUAGUACCUCAUGUUGGUUAUGUCAGCCUAUUCCCAUUCAUGAUGGGGGCCAUUCCACCUGAAUCAUGGGUUCUUGAGAAGCAGCUUGACCUUAUAUCCAACACCUCUAUCCUGUGGACGGAUUAUGGCCUCCGGUCACUUUCUAGAACAAGCUCAAUGUAUAUGAAGCGUAAUACGGAGCAUGACGCUCCGUACUGGAGAGGUGCCAUUUGGAUAAACAUGAACUACAUGAUUCUUUCAGGACUCCAUCACUAUGCACACGAGGAUGGUCCGUACAGGGUCAGGGCAGGGGAACUGUACGAUGAGCUAAGAUCGAACCUGAUUCGGAACAUUGUAGGGAAUUACCAGGAAACCGGGUUCUUCUGGGAGAACUACGACCAGAAGAACAAAGGGAAGGGGAAGGGCGCGAGGUCGUUCACCGGAUGGACGUCCCUCGUCGUCCUGAUCAUGGCCGAGUCCUACCCAUCGUUGCACAGGUAG
rnacentral:rRNA from 1 species